rnacentral:rRNA from 1 species
ACUCCUACGGGAGGCAGCAGUGGGGAAUUUUGCGCAAUGGGGGAAACCCUGACGCAGCAACGCCGCGUGAGUGAUGAAGGCCUUCGGGUCGUAAAGCUCUUUUAGUGGGGAAGAAGCCCACCCGGGCUAAUAUCCCGGGUGUCUGACGGUACCCACAGAAAAAGUUCCGGCUAACUACGUGCCAGCAGCCGCGGUAAUACGUAGGGAGCAAGCGUUGUUCGGAAUUAUUGGGCGUAAAGAGCGCGUAGGCGGUUCGGUAAGUCUGACGUGAAAUCCCGGAGCUCAACUCCGGAACUGCGUUGGAUACUGCCGGGCUUGAGUGUGGGAGAGGAGAGUGGAAUUCCCAGUGUAGAGGUGAAAUUCGUAGAUAUUGGGAGGAACACCCGUGGCGAAGGCGGCUCUCUGGACCACAACUGACGCUGAGGCGCGAAAGCUAGGGUAGCAAACGGGAUUAGAUACCCCGGUAGUCCUAGCCGUAAACGAUGGGCACUAGGUGUUGGAGGUAUCGACCCCUCCAGUGCCGCAGCUAACGCAUUAAGUGCCCCGCCUGGGGA